CUACGGGGGGCUGCAGUGGGGAAUAUUGGGCAAUGGGCGCAAGCCUGACCCAGCAACGCCGCGUGAAGGAAGAAGGCUUUCGGGUUGUAAACUUCUUUUCUGAGGGACGAAGAAAGUGACGGUACCUCAGGAAUAAGCCACGGCUAACUACGUGCCAGCAGCCGCGGUAAUACGUAGGUGGCAAGCGUUAUCCGGAUUUAUUGGGUGUAAAGGGCGUGUAGGCGGGAAUGCAAGUCAGAUGUGAAAACUAUGGGCUCAACCCAUAGCCUGCAUUUGAAACUGUAUUUCUUGAGUGCUGGAGAGGCAAUCGGAAUUCCGUGUGUAGCGGUGAAAUGCGUAGAUAUACGGAGGAACACCAGUGGCGAAGGCGGAUUGCUGGACAGUAACUGACGCUGAGGCGCGAAAGCGUGGGGAGCAAACAGGAUUAGAUACCCU
rnacentral:rRNA from 1 species